rnacentral:rRNA from 1 species
AUGAGCCUGUCUUUGGUGGUGGGUAUGGCCGAGCUGGCUGUCCUUGUGGGUUUCGUCUCGUAUUUCACCUUCCAACACCACGGAUGCUGCUGCGUGCGCCGUGACGGCGUCUCCGUAUCCAGCUUCGCGCUGGGCAUCUUCCUCGCCAUCCUCUCAUGGUUAUUGACGAUUUGGGCGGUACGACUAUAUCUCGUCGAUGUGGGGGCGAUCUGGCCGGGGAGGCGUGGUAAACCCCCCCGAGUGUUACGCCUCUCUUAA